AUUGAACGCUGGCGGCAGGCCUAACACAUGCAAGCCGAACGGUAACAGAAAGCAGCUUGCUGCUUUGCUGACGAGUGGCGGACGGGUGAGUAAUGUCUGGGAAACUGCCUGAUGGAGGGGGAUAACUACUGGAAACGGUAGCUAAUACCGCAUAACGUCGCAAGACCAAAGAGGGGGACCUUCGGGCCUCUUGCCAUCGGAUGUGCCCAGAUGGGAUUAGCUAGUAGGUGGGGUAACGGCUCACCUAGGCGACGAUCCCUAGCUGGUCUGAGAGGAUGACCAGCCACACUGGAACUGAGACACGGUCCAGACUCCUACGGGAGGCAGCAGUGGGGAAUAUUGCACAAUGGGCGCAAGCCUGAUGCAGCCAUGCCGCGUGUAUGAAGAAGGCCUUCGGGUUGUAAAGUACUUUCAGCGGGGAGGAAGGGAGUAAAGUUAAUACCUUUGCUCAUUGACGUUACCCGCAGAAGAAGCACCGGCUAACUCCGUG
rnacentral:rRNA from 1 species